GGGGAUGUAAAGGCUUCGACGGGGAGCGUGAACCUCGGUAAGCGAGCAGUGGUGCGGAGAGCCACUAUAAAAUCCGCAACUUUUAAAAUAACUGACAAAACUACAGUUAGAUUAGCAGCGUAAGCUGCUCGUCCUGCACAGAGUACCACGGCUGUGUAAGGGGCGUCGAUUAGUGGUAAAUGUGAAUACAGCAAUGCUUCGGGCUGUGUCACACAUUAGAAGCUACCGAGCCGUAUAACCCGUUGUCGGGUGCUGCGGUAAGGGAAUUUUAAAACGACAACUACGCUCGUAGAAAGCCUUGGCAAAUACUUUUCGGACAGGGGUUCGAUUCCCCUCAUCUCCACCA
rnacentral:tmRNA from 1 species